rnacentral:rRNA from 1 species
UACGUAGGGCGCGAGCGUUGUCCGGAUUUAUUGGGCGUAAAGAGCUCGUAGGCGGCUUGUCGCGUCGUUCGUGAAAACCCGGGGCUCAACUCCGGGCUUGCGGGCGAUACGGGCAGGCUAGAGUUCGGUAGGGGAGACUGGAAUUCCUGGUGUAGCGGUGAAAUGCGCAGAUAUCAGGAGGAACACCGGUGGCGAAGGCGGGUCUCUGGGCCGAUACUGACGCUGAGGAGCGAAAGCGUGGGGAGCGAACAGG